rnacentral:tRNA from 1 species
GGUAAAAGUAGCUCAGUGUUAGAGCACUUGCCUAGCAGGCACAAGACCCUGAGUUCAAUUCCCAGCACCA